rnacentral:rRNA from 1 species
CCUACGGGAGGCUGCAGUGGGGAAUAUUGGGCAAUGGGCGCAAGCCUGACCCAGCAACGCCGCGUGAAGGAAGAAGGCUUUCGGGUUGUAAACUUCUUUUGUCAGGGACGAAGCAAGUGACGGUACCUGACGAAUAAGCCACGGCUAACUACGUGCCAGCCGCCGCGGUAAUACGUAGGUGGCAAGCGUUAUCCGGAUUUAUUGGGUGUAAAGGGCGUGUAGGCGGGAAUGCAAGUCAGAUGUGAAAACUAUGGGCUCAACCCAUAGCCUGCAUUUGAAACUGGAUUUCUUGAGUGCUGGAGAGGCGAGCAGAAUUCCGUGUGUAGCGGUGAAAUGCGUAGAGAUACGGAGGAACACCAGUGGCGAAGGCGGAUUGCUGGACAGAAACUGACGCUGAGGCGCGAAAGCGUGGGGAGCAAACAGGAUUAGAUACCCCUGUAGUC